rnacentral:rRNA from 1 species
CAGUCGCCGCGGUAAUACAGAGGAUGCAAGCGUUAUCCGGAAUGAUUGGGCGUAAAGCGCGCGUAGGUGGUUUGGUAAGAUGGAUGUGAAAUCCCCGGGCUCAACCUGGGAACUGCAUCCAUAACUGCCUGACUAGAGUACGGUAGAGGGUGGUGGAAUUUCCUGUGUAGCGGUGAAAUGCGUAGAUAUAGGAAGGAACACCAGUGGCGAAGGCGACCACCUGGACUGAUACUGACACUGAGGUGCGAAAGCGUGGGGAGCAAACAGGAUUAGAUACCCCUGUAGUCCCUGUCUCUUAUAC